rnacentral:tRNA from 1 species
GGAAGAGCAUUGUCCCCGGUGGGGCGCCUGGUCUUCAAAACCAGUGAGGUGCUGUAGAAGUGCCUGGCGGGUUCGACUCCUGCCUCUUCCGCCA